GAUCGAUUGGCCAAUUAUAAAGCAAACAGUUUGCUCAAUCUUUGCAAUGAACAAAAAGCAAAAGGAUGCGAUGGAUUUCCGGGACCGCAGAGUCUGUCCCUGGAAGGCAAGUUCCAACCAUCCUCAACGAAACUAUUUGGGAAUUGAGGCGGAAUAUUUCAAAGCUGGUCCGAACCAGGAUGAUGCCUCCCAACAAAAUCAACUCGUCAAAACCGUUCCCGGGUUGUUUGUGAUUCUCCGGCGCGCUUCCGUACAAACGUCGCAAACAAUACGAGACAUUGAUGCAGUGUUGAAGACGCACAAAUUGAUUGAAUAAAACCGAAACAUUCCAAA